UGGAGGUCGGAGGAGAGCUUUUAGGAGUCCUUCCAUCUGGGGUUGCAGGACCUUCGGGCCCCAGGUUUCAGAACACCUUCAGCGGCUGAGCCGUCUGGCUGUCCUAACUAAGGUGCUGGGGAUAGACACCAGGGCCUCACUCUACACACCCAGCCUGGACCAUCACGCCUGUGGAGAGACGAUUGUCUGCAGAGUUCCCCUCUGAGCAGUGGUGGUACACCUUUAAUCCAGGAGGCAGAGGCAGGUGGAUCUCUACGAGUUUGAGGCCAGCCUGGUCUAAAAAG